rnacentral:rRNA from 1 species
AAGUCGAGCGGUAGCACAGAGAGCUUGCUCUCGGGUGACGAGCGGCGGACGGGUGAGUAAUGUCUGGGAAACUGCCUGAUGGAGGGGGAUAACUACUGGAAACGGUAGCUAAUACCGCAUAACGUCGCAAGACCAAAGUGGGGGACCUUCGGGCCUCAUGCCAUCAGAUGUGCCCAGAUGGGAUUAGCUAGUAGGUGGGGUAAUGGCUCACCUAGGCGACGAUCCCUAGCUGGUCUGAGAGGAUGACCAGCCACACUGGAACUGAGACACGGUCCAGACUCCUACGGGAGGCAGCAGUGGGGAAUAUUGCACAAUGGGCGCAAGCCUGAUGCAGCCAUGCCGCGUGUAUGAAGAAGGCCUUCGGGUUGUAAAGUACUUUCAGCGAGGAGGAAGGCGUUAAGGUUAAUAACCUUAGCGAUUGACGUUACUCGCAGAAGAAGCACCGGCUAACUCCGUGCCAGCAGCCGCGGUAAUACGGAGGGUGCAAGCGUUAAUCGGAAUUACUGGGCGUAAAGCGCACGCAGGCGGUCUGUCAAGUCGGAUGUGAAAUCCCCGGGCUCAACCUGGGAACUGCAUUCGAAACUGGCAGGCUAGAGUCUUGUAGAGGGGGGUAGAAUUCCAGGUGUAGCGGUGAAAUGCGUAGAGAUCUGGAGGAAUACCGGUGGCGAAGGCGGCCCCCUGGACAAAGACUG